ACAAACUUGGUCAUUUAGAGGAAGUAAAAGUCGUAACAAGGUCAUCGUAGGUGAACCUGCGGUGGGAUCAUCAAAAGAACAAACAUAAAUCCCAUGUGCGAACGUUAUGAAAGAACCGAGGGAGGUGUGUGUUUGGGUUAGUUGGGGGGAGGAAACUCCCUCCGGCAGCGCCCGCAUGCGCCGACCUCAAUCAUUACAAACAAUGCAAAAAUUAAAUAUUUAUUGCUGUACACAAACAAACAAAAUUACAACUAUCAAUGGUGGAUCACUUGGCUCUUGCAUCGAUGAAGAACGCAGC
rnacentral:misc_RNA from 1 species